UCAAACUGUCUUCAAUAGUUAGAUGGAGGUGGAGGUAUGAAAGGAAUGGAAGGCAAGCUGCUGCUGGGAAGUGGUGGAAGAAUAGUGAUAAGCUUAGGCUAAGAUGGUGGGAUUGUUGGUAGCUUUGGGAUUCAAGGCAAUAUAGGAGGAAGUGGUGGAAUUGGUACGCUGGGAAGUGGUGGAAGAAUGGGGGUAGGGUUAGGAAGUGGUGGAAUUGGUACUGGUACUCUAGGAAGUGGUGGAAGACUGGGGGUAAGGUUAGGAAGUGGUGGAAUUGGUAAUCUGGGAAGUGGUGGAAUUGGGAAUCCAGGAAGUGGUGGAAGAAUGGGGGGAAGUGGUGGAAUUGGUGGAAUUGGUGGAAUUGGUGGAAUAGUUACUUGCUGAAGAUUUCGAGCUGCUAGGCUAACCUCCAUGCUUGAAAAACCCAACAAAAUGAAACAAGCUAAUAAAAUGAAAACGUUGGAACCUGCCAUUUUUUUUGGAGAGAUGAACUAAAGAUUGAAGAUUUGAGUUGAGGUUUGCAUUGAGGAAAGCAGGAUUGCUUUUCAGGUAUUUAUAGCCACAUUUGAAAGACUUAAUUAAUUAUUUGUUUGAGAUAUUAUUCCCCUACUUAGCAUACUACCUUUUCUCACCCAUCUGUCAUCACCAACAAAAAGAAGAAGAAGAUAAAUUAGACUCAUCCUUAAACUUAAAAAUAUUCUGAAUGAGUCGAUUUGUCUAAUGUUAGUUAAAAAUUAAAUGCUUUUAAAUUUUGUGUGAACUAUAUCUUUCUAUUUCCAUUUACCUAAUGCCAGUUAAAAAAUAAAUAUUUUUUUAUAUAAUGAGUGUAUAUUUGACUUACGUAUGUGGCGCUCUAUUAAAAAAAAAAUUAAAUUAGGUGGAUCAAAUUUAAAUAUUAGAUAACUAUACAUGUUGGUACUUAAACUUGGUAUUUAAGAUUUUUUGUUGUCCAAUUAAAGGUUGAAUUUAAAUUAGAUAGUUGAACUUGAUUUCUUAGUUCAAAUUCCAAGCUUAGAUACCAAAAUGUUUGGUAUAAUAUUAAAUUAAAAAAAUUCAAGAUGUAAAAUACUAAUUUAACAUUUAAACUAGUUGCCCCAUACAGCUACAAUGGUAAUGAUAGAAGAAAAGUAAUUGAAUGGGAUUAGGAGAUGAAGAUCCUAGUAAAGCCACCUCUAGAGGUAUGAGAGUUGCGACCACUCUAUAAUUGAAUGCUACAAAAAUGGUUAUAUCUAGGAAUCUUUCGCCAUUAGCUAAUAAUGGAAAUAGCUAUGUAUCACUUAAAAAACAACAAUUCAUAUUUUCUUGAAAUAUAUUCAAAAAAUUGAAAAAUAUAAAAAAUAUCAUUUUUCUAAAAAUCCAAAAAUUUUAUGUGAAUAUCAACAAAUUCAGAAACUAAAAGAUAUGGAAAGCUUUAAAGUUUUUCCAAAAAGAUAGAAAUUUGCAGAAAAUUAGGUAUUUAAGAUUCCAAUAUUUUUAUUUCCCUUCUUUCCUGAUUGGAGAAAAUAUGAAUUAGGUGACGCCAUCGUUAACAAUUGGGGCAAGGUAAGACACGGUUGGAAACUUCAAGUAGGUGUAAUUUUGGGGAAAUAUUACAUUGUUUAAUAAUGAAUAUUGACAUGAUUUACCCUGAGUUAAAUCAAUUAUAUUUUACUUAUAUUUUCUAUACAAAUUUUAUACAAGCCUAAAUUAAUCAUAUUCAAUCAUAUCAAUCUCAAUAUUUUGAAUAAGAUAAUAAUAUUUUCUUAAAACUAUAACUAUAUAAAGUAUUGUAAAAAUAAUUAUUCAAUUAUACAGCUAUUUUAUUUGUAUAAUUAUAAUUAACAUAACCUUCUCCAUCAUAUAAUUAAAAUUUGUUCAACUUAUAAUUACAACAACUUUCCGUGAAGAAAAGAGAGAGACACAAAUACAAACUAAUGAGAUUAAAUAAAUCUCAAAUAUAAAAUAUUCUUCAAUAAACAUCAUUAAUCAAUCUCAAAAGAAACAAGAAAAGAAAUUCAUAAAUUAAACAAUAAGAAUAUAAUAUAACAAUCCAUUAUUUAAUAAAUUCAAAAAAAAAAAUCACAUUUAUAUUUUAAAUUUUAUUGGUCUAAUUUUAGAUAGGUUUAUAAACUUCAAAUGAUUUAAAAUAUUAGUGUCACGCCCCUAAAUAUAGGAAGGUUCAUUGAAAUGAAUAAAUAAGAAAUGUGUUGACACCAUUUUUUUGAUGAAAACGGGGUUGACUUGGAUUUUGAAAAUGAAAAUUAAAAUGACAGUCGCCACCAAUCCUUUUUGAUAAGGUGUGAUCGGAUCACCUUGAAAAGUGGUUGUUUUUAAUAAACGAUUUAAUUUUAUUAAAACAACGAGUUUGGUCCACGAAAUUCAGAAAAAUGGGUUCGGGAGUCGGUUACGUACGAGGAAGGAUUAGCGCCCUCGUGACGCCCAAAAAUUGGUACCUAGUUGAUUAGUUAAUGUCUUAAUGUCAAAAAUUGUAAACUUUGAAGAAUUUUAAAAAUACGAUCCUUAAUUUUUUUAAAAAGAAAACUUAUAUAAAUCAAGUUACUCGUUAAGACCCUCCCAUUUCAGAAAGAGAAAACGUCACGCCCAAUGCGUUAGGGCACGAUAUUUUACCUCUUCAGAAAUGAGCUUGUCUAAAAACUUACACAAUAAAAUUUUAAAGGGCAUUCAAUUGUUUAAGUCAUGUGAAAAAUUGCAACCCAAUACAUUAGGGCACAAUUUCUCAAAAUAUUAAACAUUGAAUAUUGCAUUUAUUUUGAAAAAUCCUCAUAUCCAAUGCGUUACGGCACAACGUACUGAAUUCUCGAUAAUGAGCUAUUUAUUUAUGUUUUUGUUUUAAAGAGCACCCUCGAUUAUUUAGAUCCAACGAAGAAAAUUGGAACCAAUACGUUAGGGUUCAAUUCUCUCGAAGAUCCCAAAUACCGAGUAUUACUUUUAUUUUGAAAUUUUCCGUUUUUGAUAAAUCCGAGUAAAAAUGGAUGCAAAAUAAUGAUAAUGAUGAUAAUGUAAGUAAAAUAACACGAGCAAAACAAAAUAUAAAUAAAUAAUAAGACUAAUAUAAAUACAAUCGUGCAGGCGCAAUAACAAAUAAGAAACAGAUAAAAACUAAAGCAAGAAAAAUAAUAAUAACAUACAUGUAAAUAAAUAACUGAACAAAAUUAACAAAAUUAAAAAAAAUAUAAAAGAUAUAUUUAUACAUAUAUAUGUAUAAAAUUAUGAAAAUAUUAAAAACAUAUGCAUGUACACAUUUUUGAAGCUAUUAUACAUGAAAAUAUAUGUAAGUAUAUAUGCACAUACAUGAAUACGUAUAGAACCAUCAUCAAAUAUAUAAAAGUAUAUAUAUAUAUAUGUAGGUAUAUAUGAAUCACAAAAUUUAAAGAAUAAUAUAUAUAAGAUAUAUAUUUUGGAAGUAUAAAGAAUAUGUAAGAAUUUAUAUAUACAUACAUUUAUAUAUGAAAAUGAAAUAUAUAGAUAUGUAUGUGGGUAUGUAUAAAUAUUAUAAAAUAUAAAAACAUAUAUGUGUACGCAUAUAUAUAAAAAUAUACAUAUGUAUAUAUACAUAUAUAUUAUGAAAAUAAAGCUAAAAAAAAACUAGUUAGUGUAUUAACAUAAUUGUAACGACUAAAUAAAGGAAAAUAAUAAUAAUAAUAAUAAUAAUAAUAAUAAUAACAUUAAAAUAAUUAACUAAAUAAUAAAAAUUGCUAAAAAAAGAUUAAAUCGAAAUAAAAACGAAAAUACUGGGCAAAUUCGAAAUAAAAAAAACGAAAAGGAUUAAAUUGCUACACGCAUCGAAAGAGGGAGACCAAAACGAUAAAUAAACCAAAGCCCCAAAACGCAGCGCUGCAACGGACUAAAAUGAAACAAAAGGAAAACUAUGUGGCUAAAUUAAAAUAAAAGAAAAUAAUGAAAAAGGGCCAAAUUGCAACUCGUUGCAAAGUCGGAGUGACUACGCGCGCAAAUAUCCCCUUUUAAGAAAACACGCGGAUCCUCCCCCAGGGUCGGGUCACCGAGCGGGUCAGGGCCAAAAUGGCGUCGUUUUGGCACCUGACCCUAAUGACAAAACGGCGCCAUUUCGUUUAGGGUAUUUAAACCUAAUUUUUCCCAAAAAACCUAAUUUCAGCCACCAUUUAAAAAAAAUAAAAAACUUUCUUUUUCUUUCAAAAAUCUGACUUUUGGGGUAAAAUUUUUUACUUUCUCUUGAUAUUUUGCGCGAAUAUGAAUUGUUUUUUUUUAAAAAAAUAUGUAUAAAAAUAAAAAUGAACGGGUAUAAAAAAGAAAAGAGAUGCGAAACUAAAAUCACAUUGGAGUGAAUCUGUUUGUUUUUUUUAAAUCUGUUUUUGUAUUAUUUAAAAGUGUUCUUACAAAAAAUCUAAAAAGGAACCCCCUAAAUUACAGAAAAAUUUGGCUUUUAUAGCCGAUUCUCCCCCCUCAUUCUUUGCUCUGUUGCUUUUCUAUUGCUUGCAGGGACUUGACGCGGUGCAUGUGGGGUGUCGGUGGCAAGUGGGGUGAUGGAACAUCCGACGGUGGCCGUGGCUGCUGGUGAUGCGACUGGUGUGCGGCGGCCAAGAGCUAGGGUUUCAGAAAAGCUGAAACCCUAGUUUGACUGUUGGGGUUGGGAUUUUGGGCCAAUUGGGUUAUUGGGCCUCGAGUUUGGGUUUGUAAUUGGGUUAAUUUAUUUUUUUUGGGUUUUAUGUUUGGGUUUAUUGAAUAUUGGGCUGAGGGUUAGUGGGUUAGGCCUAGGUGGGUUGGUUUGGGUUUUGGGCCCCGGGCUAAAAUUGGGCUUGUACAAAAUGAAUUAGGUUUAAUGGCUAAGUGUUAAAGAAUUCACCUUAGAGACUUAAGUUCGAGUUCCCUUCCUUCCUUUUUAUUUUUGGUAACUUGGUUUUAGGGUAAAGUCACACUCAAAAUAUAUACGACUAGGAAUUAAGAAUAAAUAAGAAAUGGGCAAUAGGUCCAAUGGUUAAGUGUUAAUCCCCUAUCUUAGAGAUCUUAGGUGUAAGUUUCCUUUUUCCCCUCCCAUUUUUCUUUUGGAUUUCGACAAUAAGGGGAAAUUUGCUGUGCCACCCCUAGGGUUUUCAAACCCGAGCUAUUUAAUCAUUCUUUUCCCAUUUGGAUUAGUUUUGCUUCUUUUCAAAUUCUUGUAAAAUUUCUACUCAUAUUAUAUUUCUCUUAUAUUUAUUUUCUUUUCCUUUCUUUUCAUUGUAACACCCUAAACUCGGUCGAAUAGGUUCGACCUAAAUUUGGAGAGCUACAUUAGCCACCGAAGUGACUUUCCAUUAACUCCCAAUCUAACCUCUAACACACCACUUACUUGCAACGUAUAUUAUGAUAAGUUAUAUCAUAACAAGGGUAUAAUAUAAUACAUAUAAUGUAAAUCAUGCAAGCUUAAAACCAAUGUAACACCCCAAACCCGGCUGAGUAGGUUCGACCCAAAUUUGGCGAGUUACAUUAGCCACCGAAGUGACUCUCCAUCAAUUCCCAACCUAACCUCCAACACACCACUUACUUGCAAUGUAUGUUAUGAUAAGUUAUAGCAUAACAGUGAAAUAAUAUCACAUAUAGAAUGUAAAUCAUGCAACCUUAUCAAACAAAAUGAGGGAACGGUUCGCAUGUUAAUUACUACGUAAGGCUACGUAGUAAGGUUAUCGCACCUAAGGGUUCACAAGCAUAUAGGGGGUCACAAACAAACAAAGGUCGCAGAAAAUAACACUUCGCAAAAAAAAUUGGCUCGCGUAUGAUGUUAAUACAUAUUUUGGAAAAAUUGAAAGAAUGCGACAUGGUACUCAUGCUAGGAGAAUUAAAGAAACAUCAAAGUAUAUUCAUGCAGAGAAGAAAUUAGUAAUAAAGGUUUAACUUCAUGGUUCGCAAAAUAUUAAAAGAAUAAACUUAAACUUUAGGGAAAUCGUUUCAUUAACAGAAUCAUAUAAUGAUAAAUCUAAACCUAUAUAAAUAAAACCCCAUCACCUAUUUCCCUAGGUUCGCAUUAUUUGUUCAGAGAUAGCCUCGCUAUUGCCAUUGGCGACUUACUUACCUGCAAAGUAAGAGAAGAGUGGGUGAGUUCAUUGCGAACUCGGUGAAUAAUCCGGAAUCAUCAACGUAUGAUUAAAAUACAGAGUUUAAAAUAGAAAGAAGACUUAGUAUGAAAAACUAUUGUAUCGCGUGUUGGGUUCGCAGUGAAUGCUAGGUUCGCAGUGAAUGUGCGAGACCCAGUUUAUAGAACCUGCUUGUCAUAAAAUCAUAUAAGUUUGAAAAUAGUUUUGCAUGUACUUACUGAAAAUCAUACUUAAAAACUUAGCUUGUUCUUGUUUGAAAAUGGAUCUUUUAUAGAAUGAAACAUGCUCACAUACUUAUCUUAUCGGAAUGGCUGAGGAAUAUAAAAUAUGUUCUUGCACUUUUCUUAACUUACUUAUAUUAUCUUGUCUUAUUUUGUUGGAUAUGUGGAUCUCUUUAUAACGCCUCAGAAUGACUCAAAGAGUCCUUAAGAUGUCCCAUAAGUGUAACAUAAGCUAAACACUCUCUUGUACACCAACAUGUCCUAUUGAAUGGAGCAUAGCUUGGCGUUCCCUUAUCUCUCCACAUGUCCCAAAGCCUCAAUGCCCAAAUCACAAAACUUAUUGGUGAGUACUCACAAUCCUUUGGUAUACAAAUAUAUCCAAUAUAUAAGCUCACAAAGGCACUCGUAUAGAAACUUAGCACAUAGAGCUAGAAAAAACAUAGCUUAUAGAACUGUAUUUUUAAAACAUGCUUUAAAACAUAGGCUUGCAUAGGAGCAUGCGUAACACAUAUCUUUAAAACAUAGCUUAAAACAUAUCUUGAAAACAAAUUAUCAGAACUUUUAAAAACAUAGUUUUAUAGGAAAAAAAACUUACUCUUGGAACUUAGUUUUUAAAAAAAAAAGAUUCUUAGAAAACAUAACAGUUCACACACAAGUUACGAAACCUGAGCAUUCAUACUAAAAAACAUGAUAGUUACCACACUUAUGGCAAUUCUUAACCACUCAUCGAUAAAACUGAAAAUUUAAAUGAGUUUUGCCUUGCCUUUAUCCUUGCUGUAGAUAGUCUGGUUGGUUCGUAACAUGCAUAAACACACAAAUUACUUCAAUAGACAAAACUUACGAACUUCACACAUGCAAGCGAACCUAGCUUUCUGGACAAUAAACCCUAAUAGGAAAAAUGCUUACCUUGGUUGCUACGAAUUUGGUUCAGAACAAAGACUUGACAACAAAAUAACGAUGAAAGAAUUUUUCCUAGAAUAAGGAUUGUAUUUAUAGGCACUAAGUAUCUUAGUGACCUUAGGAUACCCUAUUUGACUUAGGAACCCUCUACGGUUUAAAAGAAGGUUACGUGCACGAAAAGUAUCCUAGAUACACAAUAUAUUUAUUUCCUAAGUUUAGUCUAACUUGACUUUUGAUUGGCGAACCCCUAGUUUGUAACUCAAUUGUUGAACCCCAGCUCACUAAACAGAUUGGAGAACACAACUUUCAAUGAAUCUAGCGAACCUCUUACCACAUCAUUUGGCGUGCAGCAGUUUGCUAGAACACUGGCAAACUCCUUACUGGUAUCCCCUUUGGUGAACCCUAGUUUGCUGAAACACUAGUGAACCCUCACUUGUAAGGUCAAAACUUCUAGAUCAGGUUUCAGGAUGUUACAAACACCAUAUUUUUAUCAUAAUUGUUGUUGAUUAUUUUUCUUUCCUGAAUCAAAUCAUCUUUCAUUAAAUUAUUUUUCUAUUAGUUUUGUAAUUGUCGUCAAUAGCACCUCUAUAUUUGCCAAGAAACAAACCGAAUUUAGGUGAAUCAGACCGAAAUAAAGUGUGAAGAACAUCAACCGGAACUGUGGUGAAAGGUGUGUGUCUUUUCCAAGUGAAUCAGUGGUGAUCUGUGUACGAUUAAGGCCACAUGGGCUAUGCGUGUGGUCCACCAACUACCACACAACCAUGUGCACUUGUAGAUUUUAGGGACUUCAUGAACCAUACGGCCUCAGCCAGUUACACGAUCGUGUCUUUCCUGCAAGGUUUAUCAUUUUCCACAUGGAAUCAUGCUGUUACAUGACCGUCUAACCCUUACACAGGGUCUUACCCUUCUCACAUGGCCUGGCCAUACAGCCGUGUGACCCUGUUUUACAGUUUUGACCAAAAAUUUAUCAUAUGUUCAAUUUAGUCCUCGUUUAUCCCUUGAAUUAUUUUAGAGUUUUCAUUCACUCAAUUAAGUCCUUGAUAUUGUGUUUAUUCUAGAAUCUGUGAUUUAAUGACUAAAUUCCUAUUUUUAUAUUGUAUGAGAUGUGAAUAUUACAUGCCUACUGUCAUUGUAAUACUGAUAAACUAUUAAUGAUAAUAUUGUUACCACCCUAUUGAGUACAUGUUAAGCAUGUCUACUGCUAAUGUUGAACUGAAUACAUGAUAAGCAUGUCUAUUAUUAUUAUUUUUUGUAUUGUUCUAUUACAAAGCAUGCCAUAUUGCAUUGCAUGGGGUGGGACGAUAUGUAUGGAGAAAGGGUGACAGUUUAAUAAUCUGCAACCCAGUGGUGGCUCGUCCACAAACCCAAUGGCAGUUUAUCUGCAAAUGUUUUAACUAAAAAUACUGGUUGUUUAUCCGCAAUUUUUACAACGAAGUGGUAGUUUAUAUACAAAUCAGUGGUGAUUUAUCCACAACUCGGUGUGUAUGGAUGGAUGAGUUCUGGGGAACUCAUAGUGUGGUGUGUAGUGAAGUUGGGUAGGACCUUUUCUGAUAAACUGAAAUUGCAUUGCCAUUCAUAAACAUGUGCAUACAAACCAUGAAUUCUAAAUAUUAUAGUGAAGUGUUGAAUUGGAAAACCGAUAUUGUGAAUUGCUAUACGAUUGUGGUUAUUCUAAGAAUUGUUAUUUCGUAUGCUUUGACCACUAUGUUACACCGAUUUUCUUGUGAUAUGACUCACAUUGAGCUUAAGUUCACCCCCUUUUAAUUUCCAUCUUUAUAGAUAACCCACCAGGUUAGGACAUAGACACAACAUCUGGAAGGUCUUGGCUCAGAUAAAUUUUUUUAUUAAAAGUAUUUUAGACUUAUUAUUAUUUCUAUUAUUUGGAAUUGUAUUGUUUUAUUCAAACUUUGGCACGAGACUUAAGUUUUGAGUUUAUUUGACAUGCAUGAAAUUUAAUUUGAAUAUUAGGAUAUUGAAACAUGGAUUUUAAACUAAUUAUGCAUGAAAUUUUGGUUUCGCCAUCAUUAAAAAUAUUUUGAAUAUCAUUUUUCCGCUACGAUAUUAUGAAAAUAAGAAUUUGAAAAAAGUAAAUGAAUUGGAAAUCAACUUUUACUAAGUAAACUUUAAAAUCCAUUGUUUUUUGGAAACUUUUAUUUUUUAGUGAAAACAUGAUUACACGCAAAGUUUUUCUUCAAUAAUAAGCAAAUGUUUUAAACAACUGUUUUAUAAAAACUCCGAUAGUUGUAGUAGGCCAUUUCGGUAGCCAAUGCAAUCUUUUGAAUUCAGUCUUAACGUUUAGGCCGAGUUGAGGAAGUUACUAUUAGCAACUUAACAUUAAUUUGAACAUUAAAUGUUGGUCCAAACUUGACACGAAAUAUAUUUAGAAUACAUAAAUCAAAAAAUUAGUAAGUUGGCUACUUGGGUUAAUUUAUUGGUUUGACACAACAUAUCCUAUAGUAAUUCAAUGGGAUUAGAACAUCCCAACUCCUAGUUGAUUUAAUUGCUAGGUUAUCUAAGUCCACGCUUGCAAUUAUUGCUUAAAGCAUUUGUUUAAUAAAAUCUUAAAUUCCAAUGGAGGUGCUUUUUCAUAAUAUGAGGUAACCUAAGAAAAAGGAAAAAGUUGAACAUAUUGUUAAGUUAAAAUUGAACAAAUUAAGGCAAAGUGUACAAAUGGAGUGUCAUCAUUCAAAUCGGUCCUUCUCUUAAUUGUCAUAAGCCAAUUAGGUAAGCCAGAUUCUUUUAAUAAAAAGUAAAGAUUUCAUGGCAUCCCUAAAGCAUUGCAAAUUUUUUGUAAGCAUUAAAAUGGCAUUAGUUGGUACAAUACUGGUAUUGAUCUGUAUAUAUUGCUUCGGUUUUGAUCAGUACCAAAUAGUUUAUAUUUCGUUCAAUCAAAAUUUUGUUAUGUUUGAUUAUUUCGGUGUGUUUCGACCUAUUUUGGUCAAUAUCGGCUUGUACUAGCUAGUAUAAAAUUUGAUAUUUUAAACUAAAUUUUAAAAUUUUUUAAUCUUAAUUAUUUUAAUUUUGGCUAAAGGGUCUUCAAAGCCCUUGAACAUUAAAAUUUCAAUCAAUUAAGCCCAUCACACAUUAAAGUUAACGAUCAACCAUGAAAGAGCAACAAUAGCCAUUAUGAGCAAUUGUUUUCACCACGUGGCAUGUUAGACUGUACCACGUGACGAAAUAUGGUGUUUUAAAUUUAAAACCAUUAAAACUAUAGAAAAUCAUAAAAUAUUAAAAAAUUACAAAAGUUAUAAAAUUAUAUAAAAAUGAACAAAAUUAUAAAAAGUAGUAUAAAUGAUACAAAAAUUAUAUAAAUUAUUAAAAAAUUGCAAAAAGAAAACAUUAAAAAUAAGCUUAAAAUAAGAAUAUAUAAAAAAAUGUAAAAAAAAAAAAUUAGAAACUAAGUUUCGGAUACACAGCUCUGGCUGUAUUUUUCAUAAAUAAAAGCUUGGUUGAGAUUUUAGAUUUGGUAUAAAUACAAUAAAUAUAAUAUUUAUAGUAGUAAACAAGUGAAUGAAAUUAAGUAAUUGUGAUUGAGAUUCACCAUGAUUAUAUUUAUAGGAAUAAAAUAUUCCUAUAUAUAAUGAAAGUGUAAUUGAAUAAUAAAAUUCAUAUUAAUACAAGUUGCUUUAAAACAAAAGUAAAUAAUUUGAUAUUGAUCUUGUGAAACAAUUGAAUUUUGGUUUUGUUAUGGGAUUAAAUUAGCAAUUAAUCCUUUUUAAGAAUUUAGAGAACGAAUUAGAUAAGUUAGACAUAAAAGUAGAAGAGUAAAAAGAAAGGAAGUAGUGGGUAGAUUAACAUAAUUAGGAGUUUAAAUGAUAUGAUAAUAAUUAAAGCUUUAAUUUAGUUAAGGUAAUUAGAAAUGUUUGAUCAUAUUUUAGAUGUUAAUUGAAAUUAAACGAGUUAAUAGGUCGAAUACAAGUUUAUAUUUUAGUUAAGAUAAUUAAGAGUUUAACUAGAAUUAAAAAAAAAUAAGAAGCACAUUGAAUCGUCGAUGAAUUGAUUUGAUUCUAAAUCCAAACUCAAGAGAGUAGGAACAUAAUCCAUUGGAAACAACACUUUUAAGUUGUUUAAAUUUUUGAGAAAGAAAAACACUUUCAACCUUUUUUUUAAUCCCCACUCUAUCCACCAACCUACUCGUUGCUUUAUAAGUCAAAAUCGGGAAAUUAAAUAUUACACUAUUACUAAUUCGGUUAAAUUGGUUAAUUCGGUCAAAUGAAUAUUAUCGAUUUUUUGAUAUGUUUUUUUACUUGUUUUAACCAAAAAAAUAAAACAUAUAAAUUUCGGUUAAUUUGAUUAACCGGCCGAAUUAAUCGAAAUAUUUCGAUUUGGUUAAUGGUUAAAGAUACUAAUUCGAUUCGGUUAACUGAUCGGUUAAUUGUUUGAGCACCCCUAAAAAUAAGUCAUGGGACCAACAUACUGACUUCCAUACAAUUGUUAGGUAUAUAUAGCAACUCAUAAGUAUGAGUAGAAUUAGUACGCAGUACCUUAGAUUCAUUGAGCCACAUUUCAAAGUUUCCCAUGAUCUCUUUUGCUGUCAAUGAUAUAAUAAACUUUUUGUAUUCACAAUUAUGUUCACAAUAUAAAACAUAAUUGGUCGACUUGAAUACAAUUAAAUGAGACACUCUAAUGUUCUUUCCUUUUCCUCAAAUCUCUCUAUUUCAAUUCAACUACUCUCUAGAUAUGUCCCGUUAGAUUGAAUCAUACAUGAUCAUCGAUAGCCUACUAAAAUAGCUAAUAUUGAUGUAAAACUUCAAGAAACAGUUAAAGGUCAUGAGGGUACUUAGUAUAGAUCUUCAGUUGAUCUCAUGGGUUUCACACAACAUAGAAGCAGAGAUCAAAUCUUCUAUUACCCAUUUUGUUCGUAUAAUACACAUGUAGUAUGAAACACAUGCUAUGGUAUUACUCUCACUUUCCUUGAAGUGUAUGUCUUUAUCAAAAAAUCAAUACCACAUAGGUGAUAAUUCAAAUACACUUAGUAUCUAACUCGAGUCCACAACUUUAUUUUCUUAAUAGAUUCAACAACAAGACUUUCACCUGGAAUAAAAGACAUAUAAAGUGAAAAAUUCAUAUUUAAAUUAUCAAACAUAAAUCAAAUUGAUUAUAAUUAUAUCAUUUUGCAUAUAGCUCAUGUCGUGCAAGUGCACACUUUAGCCCCAACAAGUUUGGACCUAUGCCCUUCAUGCAUGCAAGGCAAGAUUCCAAACAUAAUCAUUCAAUCAUCAUUUAUGUGGGUUCUCAUAUAUAUACACAUCUCACACUUGGUAUUUAACCAAUGUGGGAUCUAAGCUUUUCUUUUCCUCAACAAAUAUUCACAAGUAGCUUACUUUGAGCACCAAUUUCUCAUUCAUCACUCAACCAUUUUGAGCAUAUGAUAUACUGUUGUAAAGGUCUCAUGGAGUAGAAUAUAAAAUCAUAAUUUUAUGAUUCAACUCUCAACAUUUACCAAUUAAAAAUAUGCCUCAAAGUUCCCAUAAAUUACAAAUUUUCCAACAACUUUUGAAUGCAUUAAUCAUUAUCAACAUUAACUCAAGUGAGGACAAGAAUAUAUUAUUCAACUUGCAAUCCUAGAGUUUUGACAUUCCUUUAAAAAAUCUCUAGGAAUCGGUUUUGUAAACUGAUUUGCAAUCCUCUUAUGCAUAGACUUUCUCUCUUGUUGUGAGAUUUACCUUCACACUUAUUUUUUCCAAUAUACUAACUUUAGAUAUUUGGAGUUUGGAGUUGGUCAAACAGAUGUAAAAGCUACCUUUUCCAAAUGAAAAUCUGGAAUUUACACAGACAAAGUAGAUUUCAUUGACAAAGGUGAAAUGCAUAGUCUGGGCAAGUUAUGAAGAUCAAUUUUAUGAUCUUAAGCGAUUUUCCAGAUAGUGAUAUGCUAUUUUUUUUAAUUAAGAAACUGUUUAGUUUGAUUUAAUCAUAAUUGAUAAAGACCACUUUACUCAUGUUAAAAGAAGGAAAGAAAAUUUUGUAACUAUGUCAUUUUAUGUGGGUGACAUGUUGUUGGCCGCAAAUGAAUUAGUGCUUAUCAUUAUGGGUUAUGCAAGACUACAUGUCAAUUCAUACGAAUGUGUCCUUUUUUCAAUGUUGUGAGUAGCAUCAUAUAUGUUAUGAUGUACAUAAAGCAAAGUAUCUCUUGUAUAGUUGGAUUCAAGACACUCCAAUCCAAACUCAUUGCAAAACAAUGAAAAUGAUAUUGAGGUAUUGAAAAGACACUAUGGAUUUUCACCAUGCUAUCUAAUUGUGAAUACAAAUACCUAUUAAUUAAAAGGAGAUUUAGAUGAAAUAUUGAAAUCUAUCUCCACACAUGUGUUCGUAUUUGAUAAUGGAGUGAACUCUUAAAGUAGUAAGAAAUAAACUUGUAUAGCAUGGUCUAUUAUUGAUGCUGAAAUUGGCAUUUUUAGCGAUGGUUCAAGAGAGUGUUUGGGUUAAAAUAAUCACGAUUAAUAUAGUUACGUUAAAGCAAAAUAUCUUCUAUAGUUGGAUUCAACAUAGUCCAAUCCAAACUUAUUGCAAAACAAUGAAAAUGAUUUUGAGGUCUUUUAUUGUUCUCUCUUGUAUAGUUUGCAUCUCAAGGCACUUUCUUGUUGAUUACGAUGAACAAAAAACGGUUGCAAGCUCUGGGACGAGCAAGAUCAAUAUCUUUAGAGAUCAAAUGAUGGUUAGUAUACAAAUUUAAAAACUAGUUUUUAUAAUUUCAUUUUCAUAUAGUUUUUAUUUAUUUUUUAUUAUAAAUUUUAUGCUUUUUAUAAUAUUUUAUAUGUUUUAGUAUUUUUACAAUAUUUUAAUAACUUUCUAUCUUUUUAAAUAUUUAUUACCAUUUUUAUUUUUAAUUCAAAUAAUUUAUUUUUUUCCAAUUUUCUAUAUUUUAUAAUAUUUUUAAUAAUAUUUUAUAUAUUUAAAUAUUUUUUCAUAAUUUUAAUUUUUUUAAAUUUUUCAUAAUUUAUAUGUUUUUUUAAUUUUUAUUUUAGUACUUUUUAAUGCUUUUCACAAUUUUUAAUAAUUUUUAUAAUUUAUAUUUUUUUUUCGUUUAUAAUCAUUUUUAUAAUUUAUAUAUAUAUCUGCAAUUUUAUAUAUUUUAUAAUUUUUGCAAUUUUUAUAUUUUAUAAAAUAAUUUUGUAAUACUCCAAACUCGGCCUUAACGUUAUGACCAAAUCUAGAGAUGCUAUGAAGAUACAUUAAAAAAAAUCUAGAAUCUGUUGAUUUUAUAAAAUGAUACUUGCCCUUAUUUAGUAAAAUCUGAGUUUAUUUGAGAAAUUUAUCGUUUUGAUGGGUUUGUCAAUUAUUUACUCAUAAAACUAGUCGAAUCCAAUUUGAAAACACGAUUUUUUUUGUUGUUGUAAAAUCCAUUAUUCAACAAUUCAAUUUUCAACCCACCAACGAGGAAAUCACACAGGACUUCCUGCUAACCUACCAUCUUUUUUCAAGAGUUCAAACCCAAUCCAACACCACCAACUCGACAGCACAUUAAGGGCUAACAAAAAUAAAUUAGAGACUCAAACGAUAAAUUAACAUCUUAUCGUUGAACUAGUAAACUCAUUCUAUCACAAAUUGAUCAAAAAUAGUAUUUAAGUGGUAAGGAACAAGAUAAGGAUAAAAGACAAAAAUAAUAAAAUUUCUUAAAAAUGAGAUUUGAACCCUAAUCAGUAAAACAAAUACUUAUUCAUGACAUAAAUUAACAAAUUAAAAAUUCAUAUUUUUGGGUCUUAAAAGUUUUUAAUAAAUUAUAAUUACUUGAUUCCAGUUUCUUUAUUAUGCCCAAAUUUAAGAUUAAGCCCUAUAUUUUAAUUUUGACAUAAUUUGAUUUAUUUAUUUUUAUAAUGUCAUUAGUUAUCUUAAAUCGCUAACAUUAUUAGCUAUGCCAAGUAAAAUAACAUCGCGUAUUUUUUUUCUUAAAAUCAUCACUUCUAACUAAAUAAUGGCUUAAUCACUUUUUUAACUAAUUAUACUAACAUAGAUUUUUUUUAGUUGGAACGAGUAUGUUUAAGGAAAAAUCACCUCAACACUUUACUUGAAAUUAGUAAUCACAUUAAUUAUUUGGACUAACUAAAUCAUUACUGAAUCACCUUCUAACUAAUUAUAGUAAUGUAUAUAUUUAAGAAAAAGCUCACUUUAAUGUUUUAACUGAAAUUAUUAACCGUGUUAAUUACUUAAACUAACUAAUGAAAAAUAUUUCAAAUUAAUUUAUACUGAAUAACUCUCAAAUCCAAGUAUAAUAAAAUAAUAUGACUAACUCAAACUUGGCGUUGAAUUGAGUUUGGGAGUAAAAUAAUCACAUCACUCAUUGGCAAAGCAUGACUGUGAUUAUGAUAUGGUUUUUCGAAGUAUAACUAUGGUGGAGUUGAUAGCAUUGAUUAGAAUACCUUUAUAAAUGAAUAUAUAACAUUUAAUCAUGUAUAUAUUUUUAAUAAUUUAAUAACUUAAAAAAACACCACACUUUAUUAUAUAUGUAAAAUGUAAAUAGAAGCUACAUUCUUAUUUCAUGAAAUAACAUCAUAGAGAAUGUGAUGGCAGAGUUCAUUCUCAGUAAUAUAUGUGAUACUAAUUAGGAAUCAAACUGUCUUCAAUGGCUGGAUGGAGGUGGAGGUGGAGGUGGAGACAUGAAAGGAAUGGAAGGCAAGCUGCUACUGGGAAGUGGUGGAAGAACAGUGAUAGGCUUAGGCUAAGAUGGUGGGAUUGUUGGUAGCUUCGGGAUUCAAGGCAAUGGAGGUAUGCAGGGUUGAGCUGAGAAUGAUGGUAGAUCUAGGAUUGAAGGCAAUGGAAGUAUGUUGGGCAACUUACGAAGUGGUGGUAGUUCUAAGUUCUGGGAUUGAAGGAAAUGGUGGUGGUUCUGGGAUUAAAGGAAGUGGUGACAUCGGAGGUGGCAAUGGUACCGGUAAAUAUGCAGAUGGCAAUGGUACUGGUAAAAAUGGAGGUGGCAAUGGUAUUGGCGACAAUGGAGGUAGCAAUGGUACUGGUGACAAUGGUAUUGGCGACAAUGGAGGUGGCAAUGGUAUUGGUGGAAAUGGAGGUGGCACUUGCUGAAGAUUUCGGGUUGCUAGGCUAACCUCCAUGCUUGAAAAACCCAAGGAAAUGAAGCAGGCUAAUAAAAUGAAAACGUUGGAAGCUGCCAUUUUUUUUUGGAGAGAUGAACUAAAGAUUGAAGAUUUGAGUUGAGGAAAGCAGGAUUGGUUUCGGGUAUUUAUAGCCACAUUUGAAGGAGUUUUUUAAUUAUUUGUUUGAGAUAUUACUCCCCUACUUAGCUUACUACCUUC
rnacentral:lncRNA from 1 species